AUGAAAUGGGACGAACAGGAACCUGGGGAGGGACGUCAGAAUAGAUGUUCUUAUUCAAUUUUGCAUCAAAAUAAGGUCGUUGCAAGAAAGCUGUUGUAGCUCCCAGCUGCUUGUCUUCAGGUUCUGGUUGGUGUUUCUUCUUUCUAUUCAUCACUUUGCGGCAAACAACAAAAAUCCCAACUAACAAGAAUAUUCCAGCGAUGAAAACAAUAAUUCCAAUUACUUCAGCUAAACUAAUGUUCCAAGACGUUGAAACGUAUUUGUUAAGAACAAUGUCUGUGCAGUGCUUUCCUCCAAAUCCAUGGCUGCAAUUGCAGUGAUAUGAACCGUAAGUAUUUUCACAAAGGGCACCAUUAAGACAGGGGUUUUCUGUGCAUUCAUCGAUAUCAGUCAGACACCUUUCUCCCCGAAAGCCUGCUUCACACUCAC
rnacentral:lncRNA from 1 species